UACGGAGGAUCCAAGCGUUAUCCGGAAUCAUUGGGUUUAAAGGGUCCGUAGGCGGUUUUGUAAGUCAGUGGUGAAAGCCCAUCGCUCAACGGUGGAACGGCCAUUGAUACUGCAAGACUUGAAUUAUUAGGAAGUAACUAGAAUAUGUAGUGCAGCGGUGAAAUGCUUAGAGAUUACAUGGAAUACCAAUUGCGAAGGCAGGUUACUACUAAUGGAUUGACGCUGAUGGACGAAAGCGUGGGGAGCGAACAGG
rnacentral:rRNA from 1 species